rnacentral:rRNA from 1 species
UACGUAGGUGGCAAGCGUUGUCCGGAUUUACUGGGCGUAAAGAGCGCGCAGGCGGUCGUCCAAGUCGCGUGUGAAAGCCCCCCGGCUCAACUGGGGAGGGUCACGCGAUACUGAUCGACUCGAAGGCAGGAGAGGGUAGUGGAAUUCCCGGUGUAGUGGUGAAAUGCGUAGAUAUCGGGAGGAACACCAGUGGCGAAGGCGACUACCUGGCCUGUUCUUGACGCUGAGGCGCGAAAGCUAGGGGAGCAAACGGG